GGACCAUUAGCUGGUUGGUGGGGUAAUGGCCCACCAAGGCGAUGAUGGUUAGCUGGUCUGAGAGGAUGAUCAGCCACACUGGAACUGGAACACGGUCCAGACUCCUACGGGAGGCAGCAGUGAGGGAUUUUGCGCAAUGGGGGGAACCCUGACGCAGCAACGCCGCGUGAGUGAAGAAGGCCUUUGGGUCGUAAAGCUCUGUCAAUCGGGAAGAAGUUAUUUAGGUCGAACAGGCGUAAGUAUUGACGGUACCGAUGAAGGAAGCAUCGGCUAACUCCGUGCCAGCAGCCGCGGUAAUACGGGGGAUGCAAGCGUUAUUCGGAAUUAUUGGGCGUAAAGGGCGCGUAGGCGGUUUUGUCGGUCAGAUGUGAAAGCCCGGGGCUCAACCCUGGAAGCGCAUUUGAAACAGCAAGACUUGAGUACGGGAGAGGAAAGCGGAAUUCCUGGUGUAGAGGUGAAAUUCGUAGAUAUCAGGAGGAACACCGAUGGCGAAGGCAGCUUUCUGGACCGAUACUGACGCUGAGGCGCGAAGGCGUGGGUAGCGAACAGGAUUAGAUACCCUGGUAGUCCACGCAGUAAACGAUGUACACUCGGUGUAGCGGGUAUUAAAAUCUGCUGCGCCCAAGCUAACGCAUUAAGUGUACCGCCUGGGGAGUACGGUCGCAAGACUAAACUCAAUGAAUUGACGGGGGCCCGCACAAGCGGUGGAGCAUGUGGUUUAAUUCGACGCAACGCGAAGACCUUACCUGGGUUUGACAUCCUGUGGAUCCGGUAGAGAUAUCGAGUGCCUUCGGGAGCACAGAAGAACA
rnacentral:rRNA from 1 species